CCUACGGGUGGCAGCAGUGAGGAAUAUUGGUCAAUGGCCGGAAGGCUGAACCAGCCAUGCCGCGUGAAGGUCAGUGCCCUAUGGGCGUUAAACUUCUUUUGUGCGGGAGCAAUAAUGGUCACGUGUGGCCAGACGAGAGUACCGUACGAAUAAGCAUCGGCUAACUCCGUGCCAGCAGCCGCGGUAAUACGGGGGAUGCAAGCGUUAUCCGGAUUUAUUGGGUUUAAAGGGUGCGUAGGCUGUGAGGUAAGUCAGCGGUGAAAUGCCCCCGCUCAACGGGGUGAAGUGCCAUUGAUACUGCCUGGCUUGAAUGCGGAUGCCGUGGGAGGAAUGUGUGGUGUAGCGGUGAAAUGCAUAGAUAUCACACAGAACACCGAUUGCGAAGGCAUCUCACGAAUCCGCGAUUGACGCUGAUGCACGAAAGCGUGGGUAUCAAACAGGAUUAGAUACCCGGGUAGUC
rnacentral:rRNA from 1 species